AUGGGUGCGGCCCAAAAAUACAUAUAUGUACUUGUCUUUUGUGUGUGUGUGUGUGUAUUUAUAUUUAUAUUUACAUGUAUAUUUUUUUGGUACAGACCCUCUCAGCCAGGCUUCUUGCUAAUCUCAUCAUUACAGUAUCAUGACUGAAAAGGCAACAAGGACAAUAUAGUCAAAGCCACGUCCUUUCGUUAAUUUGUUUAAAAGCUACUGACUCAGUUGUCAUCAUGACAUUGUAUUCUUUGCUAAUACAUUUUGACAUACACAAAUGUAGAGCUGAAAAAGAGCUCUAGAUAUAUUUAAUCUUAUGCCAGCUUUUAAUCAAGUGAAUUUAGUUCUUCUACAGAGCUCUGUUAUUAUUUGGAAAGCUUGUGUUAGAAGUUAGAUGAUCCAAGUUCCAGCAGAAGUUCCACUGUUACAGGCACUAUUUGUACUACACUGGGCAGACCACCACCAACCCUUGGUUCUCUUGUAUGUAAAAUAAGUGAGUUAAACUAGGUGAUUUCUAAUGUUUCUCCCAGCUCUAUGCCCACUUUAGUCUGUUAUACAAAUUUUUGAAUUGUAGAUGAUAAAAUGUUCUCUUGGUUCUUUCUUUAAAGCUCUCCUUUUUGAUUGAUAAUGAUUAAGCAUAUUUGAAGAAUCCUCUUAUUUGGUUAUUAAAUGAGCACUCUUAAGGAUCUACCAGGUUGAAAUAAGUGUGAAGGAGGUUUUUCACACAAAAAAAAUUAGCAAAUGAUUACUCACAAAGUAGCAAGUAGCAAAAACUUACUCUUUAGUGCAUAGUUCAAGCUAUAAAAACAAAUGUUACAUAUUGUUUAAAAUAUGUAACAUUUCAUGAGCAUAAAUAAGAGACACUUGCAUAUCUUCAUUAGAUAGUAUUUGCCCUAACAAAAAGUCCAUUAUAGAGAAAAAAAACUCAGAAGCCAUUUAAACCUCAAGCAUUCAAAUAAAUAGGAUUCAAGAAACAAAAACACCUGUCUUGAUAGGAAUCUACACAGCUUUCUUUCAUCACUAGUGAGUUCUGAAACAGACCAGAGCAUGAGAAGGAUUGGAGCAAUCAGACUUGAUUCUUGUGGCCUGUGUAAGUUAAACCCAGGACACUUUUUAGCAGGCUUUUUUGAUAGUGAUGAGAAAUCAUAAGACUUGGUGGCCUGAGUCCUGAGAAUUUGGAGUUAACCAUAAAAGUUUUAAUUUUUGAUAUGGAUAUUUUUUGUUUGUUUGUUUCUGGAAGGAUUUCCAAAACAGUUGAGCAAGCAAUGGGAACUCAGGAGUCUAAUCAAGCUCAAGAUAGACAUCUGCAUAUGUGAUGAAUGAUUUCAAAGAAGGAAAUAAUACCAGCCAAGAAGAGAAUAUGGAACAGAAAGGGAAGAUGACUGGGGAGAAAACAUGAGGAAAUGCCCAUGUUUAUAGGUAGAAGGUUUUGGAGGAAUCAGUGAAAGCUGUAAAGGGGAAUCAGCCAGGGAGGAAAAGCAAAGCACGUAAUAUUACAGAAACAAGGGGACAGGUUAGGUAUAAAAGAUACACAACAGGCUACAGAGUACAGAGAAUGGUUACUGGAAAAAAGACUUUGGAUUUUAAGUGACAAAUUAACACAGUGCUUGUUGAGCCAAAUUUCAAAAGGUUAAGAUGAAGUGAAGUUAGAAUGAGAAGUGAGGACUAUUGUUUGAUUGUAAGCUGUCAUUUCACUCAGUUUAAAUGACUGUUUUCCCCAGUCCUCCCAUUUGGAUGAAGUUUUUGGUUUCUUACCAGCUAUGAACGCUUAUUGGCAUAUAGUUUCUUUCCAAUAUAUUAAAGGAAAUUAACCACAUACUUCACUGAGAUGACUUCCACUCUCAAACAUUAAAACAUCUUCAAAUUACCUGAACCAUGAAAAGAAGAACUCAAAUGAAACAAAAAAGUAAAGGGAAUGGAAUGGGAAUAAUGAGCUUCAAAUUUCUGGGUCCUGUUAGCAGGACAGGCUGACACAGAAAGAGGGUCAUAAAUCUUCCAAUUCUCAGCAAGCUCUUUGCACUCCAAGCACUAUGCAGAAAGUGUCAAUAAGCUUGCCUUUGCACAGGCUAUCUUACUUUGGAGAAUAUCAAAUUAAUGCUCUUGGCAGCAGACUCUAACAUGUUGUUCAAUUAUUUUGGUUCCUGUGUUUAAAAAACUAAUAUUGUUGUAGUUGUUAGGGCCUCUCCCUAUCGUGAUUAUAUUUUUAAUGUCUGGUAUAAUUUUGCUUCUGUGUAAUUUCACCAAUUAUUCAAUUAUAUGAUGUUUUGCUUACUAAGACAACAUUGACUUACUAUCCCUUUUAAUGUGAACAUUCAGUACAAGAAACAUGAGAGCAUGUGUGUAUGUUUAUUUUGUUCUGUCUUACAAUUCUUGGCCUUGGUAUAACUGCGUUCAUUUGUUUCCUUCAUCUACAUCACUUGUUUAGUAACUCCUGCCUACCUUGGUGGGGGAAAUUAAGCAGCCACUUUCUAUUUGGUACAGGAGCACUUGACCUUACUUAUUUCUGUAACAGCUGUAGUAGUAAUGACAUCAGGACAAUGACUAAGUGCACUUUCCUCUUUGUCCCUGUUGACCAGUAAGAUGAGUAUUACGACUAUGGUUGCUGUUGUUAUUGUUAUCCUAUUUCACAGAUUUUUUUAAAGAAGUACCAAAGAUUAAGUGGCUUUCCCAUAGACGUUAGGCUAGUCAGUGCGAGCCAGCCAAAUUCAGAAAAAUUCCCUUUGGAAUUCUAUUAGGAAAAUGUAGUGCUGCAGCGCUGCUACAGAUAAACUGAUUGUCUGAAAAGCAGCUAGGAGGAGUCAAAAGUAAAGAAAACGCAAAAGCAAUAGCAGCCUCUAAACCUAGACAGUUUCCCCUUUUCUGAUCUGAGUGUGAGGGAUAUCAGCCAAGCCGACAUAAAGUCAUUGUAGAGAGGCCAUUGAGAAGGCUUCCACUUGGCUGAUGUCCAUGGGUACGUGAUGUUACUUGGAUGCAGGAAGAUGGGCACUGGGGACUGUGGGGUGGUUACCAUGAGAAGAGAAGAGAAAAAUAGGAUUUAUGCAAUAGCAUUCCCUUCUACGUGGGGCAGCGCUAAUGGGAAAGAGUAGGAGAAAGAAAGGAAGAACCUCUAAGAGAAUGUUAAGUCCAUUCCUUUUGAAAAUGGAAGGGUGUUUCCCAGGGAAGAGAAAAAGGAAGGGAAUGAGAGCGGUCUUGUAAGUAUAAAGGUAUGUGCACGUGUGUGAGAAUAUGCACAGGGCAUGUAUGCAGGUAGUGUGUAUGGUGAUGUAUAGUUAUUAUUUCCCUUGAAACAUUAAAAAAAAAAAGUUCUGAUAUUGUAGACUUUGUAUUCGAGAGGAGAGCCCAAAUGUUUGACGUUUCAAAGCCUAGGAAGCACUCUGGAAUGCAAAACUAGCAAAACCUGCCCUGUGAGCGGGCAGUAGGGGGCCAAGCGCAGCAGUCUAUCCAGGACUGCCCGUGGCUGUCAACCUUCACCCUGCCUCCUGCGUUGGGGUAUACUGAGCCACACAGCUGCUGCAGCAGGCUCCUCUCAUAAAACAAGGAAGCCCAACAUCUGUGGGGCAAUGAGCCGCCUUCACGGUUUGACAGUAGUGUUGUGUGAGGUGGCGGUGCUGUUUGGCAAAUUGGCUUUCAGUUUUUGGCUUCUCACAAAAGGAACGGAAGGGGGAGCUGCAGCGGUUCCCGGGGCCCCCAGGGCCCCCUCUCCUGGCCGCUGUGCGCUGGCCGGAUCUGGUGCUGAGUGCGCACGCUCCUAUCUCUCUGUGUGUCUGUGUAACUGUUUGAGUGACUGUCAGUCUAUCUGUCUGUGUGACACAGACAGAGAUGCUCGAGGAAAGUUUCCUCUGGUAACUUAUACCUCUAGAGUUUGCCUUGCUAUGUUGCAGGCACCCUGGGCUUCCGCACCUAUGAUGCUGUCAUUGUCACUUCGUUAGUUUGAUUUCUUUGGAUGAUUUAUUACAAUUCUACAACGAUGAGAAAUGCACACCUAUUGAAGUUUUCUGUAUGUGACCUUACUUCAUGGAAGUGAGAAAGUGGCUGGAAAGGAAGGAUAACCUGAAAAAAAAAAAAAAAAAAAAAAAAAAAAC